CUCUCGGCAACGGAUAUCUCGGCUCUCGCAUCGAUGAAGAACGUAGCGAAAUGCGAUACUUGGUGUGAAUUGCAGAAUCCCGUGAACCAUCGAGUCUUUGAACGCAAGUUGCGCCCGAAGCCGUCAGGCCGAGGGCACGCCUGCCUGGGUGUCACGCAACGUC
rnacentral:rRNA from 3 species